UACGUAGGCAGCGAGCGUUGUUCGGAGUUACUGGGCGUAAAGGGUGUGUAGGCGGUUGUUUAAGUUUGGUGUGAAAUCUCCCGGCUCAACUGGGAGGGUGCGCCGAAUACUGAAUGACUUCGAGUACGGGAGAGGUGAGUGGAAUUCCUGGUGUAGCGGUGAAAUGCGUAGAUAUCAGGAGGAACACCGGUGGUGUAGACGGCUCACUGGACCGGUAACUGACGCUGAGACACGAAAGCGUGGGUAGCAAACAGG
rnacentral:rRNA from 1 species